ACACUGAUGGUGAAGUGGUUAUCAUGCUUGCCUUCCAUCAAACAGGAUUCUGAGAUGUCCAGCAAGCGGCAGGGGUUCGAUUCCCCUUCAGUGUA